AUAUCAUUAAGCGGAGGAAAAGAAAUUAACGAAGAUUGCCUUAGUAGCGGCGAGCGAAGCGGCAAGAGUCCAAGUUUAAAAUCUGAGGUGUUCCACCUCCGAAUUGUAAUCUAAAGAGCGUAGCAAAAGGGGAGGUUGAAGCAUAAGUGCCAUGGAACUGGCUGUCAAAGAGGGUGAUAGCCCCGUAUUCGGCCUCCACCAACCUGAAUGUUGGCUCUCGUAGAGUCGGGUUGUUUGGGAUUGCAGCCCUAAAUUGGAGAUAAACUUUUCUAAGGCUAAAUAUCGAUGGGAGACCGAUAGCGACAAGUA
rnacentral:rRNA from 1 species